GUGCCAGCAGCCGCGGUAAUACGUAGGGUGCGAGCGUUAAUCGGAAUUACUGGGCGUAAAGCGUGCGCAGGCGGUUAUAUAAGACAGUUGUGAAAUCCCCGGGCUCAACCUGGGAAUUGCAUCUGUGACUGUAUAGCUAGAGUACGGUAGAGGGGGAUGGAAUUCCGCGUGUAGCAGUGAAAUGCGUAGAUAUGCGGAGGAACACCGAUGGCGAAGGCAAUCCCCUGGACCUGUACUGACGCUCAUGCACGAAAGCGUGGGGAGCAAACAGGAUUAGAUACCCUGGUAGUCCACGCCCUAAACGAUGUCAACUGGUUGUUGGGUGCAUUAGUACUCAGUAACGAAGCUAACGCGUGAAGUUGACCGCCUGGGGAGUACGGCCGCAAGGUUGAAACUCAAAUGAAUUGACGGGG
rnacentral:rRNA from 1 species